CCUACGGGCGUCAGCAGUGAGGAAUAUUGGUCAAUGGGCGCGCGCCUGAACCAGCCAAGUAGCGUGAAGGAUGACUGCCCUACGGGUUGUAAACUUCUUUUAAAAGGAAUAACUUGAGGCACGUGUGCCUUUUUGUAUGUACUUUAUGAAUAAGGAUCGGCUAACUCCGUGCCCGCAGCCGCGGUAAUACGGAGGAUCCGAGCGUGAUCCGGAUUUAUUGGGGUUAAAGGGAGAGUAGAUGGGUUGUUAAGUAAGUUGUGAAAGGUUGAGGCUCAACCGUAAAAUUGCACUUGAUACUGGCAGCCUUGAGUACAGUAGAGGUAGGCGGAAUGCGUGGUGUAGCGGUGAAAUGCUUAGAUAGCACGAAGAACUCCGAUUGCGAAGGCAGCCUACUAAACUGCCACUGACAUUGAUGCUCGAAAGUGUGGGUAUCAAACAGGAUUAGAUACCCCAGUAGUC
rnacentral:rRNA from 1 species